CCUACGGGAGGCAGCAGUGGGGAAUAUUGCACAAUGAGGGAAACCCUGAUGCAGCGACGCCGCGUGAGUGAAGAAGUAAUUCGUUACGUAAAGCUCUAUCAUAAGGGAAGAAAAUGACGGUACCUGAAUAAUAAGCCCCGGCUAACUACGUGCCAGCAGCCGCGGGAAUACGUAGGGGGCAAGCGUUAACCGGAUUUUCUGGGGGUAAAGGGAGCGGAAACUGUGGGGCAAGGCUGGAGUGAAAUGCCCCAGUUUAAAUGCGGGACUGCUUUGGAAACUGGCGAACUAGAGUGCGGGAGGGGUAAGCGGAAUUCCAAGUGAAGCGGUGAAAUGCGUAGAUAUUAGGAGGAACACCGGUGGCGAAGGCGGCUUACUGGACCGUAACUGACGUUGAGGGUCGAAAGCGUGGGGAGCAAACAGGAUUAGAUACCCCAGUAGUC
rnacentral:rRNA from 1 species